AGAGUUUGAUCCUGGCUCAGGAUAAACGCUGGCGGCGUGCCUAACACAUGCAAGUCGAACGCCCUUGAGCAAUCAAGGGAGUGGCGGACGGGUGAGCAACACGUGGGCUACCUACCCUUUGGUGAGGAAUACCGGCGAGAAAUCGCCGACAAUACCGCAUACAUUUGGCAACAAAUAAAGCUCGCUUCGGUGAGCGCCAAAGGAUGGGCCUGCGCCUGAUUAGCCAGUUGGUGGGGUAAUGGCCUACCAAAGCGACGAUCAGUAGCUGGUCUGAGAGGACGAUCAGCCACACUGGGAUUGAGAACGGCCCAGACUCCUACGGGGGGCAGCAGUGAGGAAUUUUCGGCAAUGGGCGCAAGCCUGACCGAGCAACGCCGCGUGCAGGAUGACGGCCUUCGGGUUGUAAACUGCUUUUCUCUGGGACGAGUAAGGACGGUACCAGAGGAACAAGCCCCGGCUAACUACGUGCCAGCAGCCGCGGUAAU
rnacentral:rRNA from 1 species